rnacentral:rRNA from 1 species
GACGAACGCUGGCGGCGUGCCUAAUACAUGCAAGUCGAGCGGACAGAAGGGAGCUUGCUCCCGGAAGUUAGCGGCGGACGGGUGAGUAACACGUGGGCAACCUACCCUGUAGAUCGGGAUAACAUCGAGAAAUCGGUGCUAAUACCGGAUAAUCAUUUGAAGUGCAUGCUUCGAAUGUAAAAGAUGGCUCCGGCUAUCACUACGGGAUGGGCCCGCGGCGCAUUAGCUAGUUGGUAAGGUAAUGGCUUACCAAGGCAACGAUGCGUAGCCGACCUGAGAGGGGGAGCGGCCACAAUGGGACUGAGACACGGCCCAGACUCCUACGGGAGGCAGCAGUAGGGAAUCUUCCGCAAUGGACGAAAGUCUGACGGAGCAACGCCGCGUGAGUGAUGAAGGUUUUCGGAUCGUAAAGCUCUGUUGUUAGGGAAGAACAAGUGCCGUUUGAAUAAGGCGGCACCUUGACGGUACCUAACCAGAAAGCCACGGCUAACUACGUGCCAGCCGCCGCGGUAAGAC